rnacentral:piRNA from 1 species
ACAAACGGACGAGGACGAGGACAA